rnacentral:lncRNA from 1 species
ACUUCAUAGAAUUAAGAUUGAAAAUGAAAGAAUUAAGUAUAUGAUGACGAUACCAACAUUAUCCAGACAUAUUGCAAACAAAAAGCAAGAUGGUUAUAAUUAAGUAUAUGGCCACGAACAUGAAUGAACUGCUUCAAGUUUUGAUGCAAAGCAAAAGCAUGCUCGCUUUAAUUUGGUCAUCGUUUAUAAAAUCAAGACUGAUUUUAAUUACAAUCUGAAAUUGCCUGCAACAUGAAUAAUAAUUCUGUCAAAUUUGAGGUAAAUUUAUGUUCUUAAAUGUUAAUAUGCACUCGGGAGCUGCUGUAGGUGUGCCGGAAGUGGGUGGUGCUUGGUCUACAUAUAUUAAUGGCCAUAUAUAUGCAUCUCUUUAGUGGCCAGAAACUUACCCACCAAAUUAAUACUGGCAUGCCGACAUGACAGACAAUUAUAACAAUGCAUUAAUAAAUUGUUUGGGUUUGCUCCUUAAUUCUAUCUAUGCGCCAAAUAAUCUUCGACUCCAUCUUCAUGUUCCAAAUUAUCCAUUUCUACAAAAUAAUUAAUAUUCGUAUUAAGCAAAAUGUAAGAUCAAUUUAUACAAACACCAUCCAGUAAUAAUUUAAUCCAUUAAAAUUCUAAACAUUAAAAAAAUGAUAAAUCGAACACAAUUUAAAUAAAAUAAUAAUAAAUCGAACACAAUUUAAAUUAAAAAAAUAAAUCGAACACAAUUUAAAUAAAAAUGAUAAAUCGAACACAAUUUAAAUAAAAAAAUUCAAUGUGGAAACAACAUUUAAAUUAAGAAUAAAUUAUUAUAAAAUUUUCUAGUAAUAAUUUAAUCCAUUAAAGUUCUAACAAUUUAAAUUAAAUAAAUUAUAAAUCGACACAAUUUAAAUUAAAAAUAAUUAUAUGUUCAAACAAAAUUUAAAUUAAAAAAUUCUAAAUCAAACAUAUCAUUUAAAUAAAAAGAUUUCUAAAAAAUCUAAAUUAAACACAUUAUCAUUUAAUUAAUAAAUGCAGGUAUAUAUCUAUUAUUAUGAUAUAACAAAAAAUAAUAAACAAAUAAAAAAUUAUUCUUUAAGCUGAGAUAAUUACCAACUGGGUGUUGCUUCAAGAUCUAGAUCGAAAAAUGAACGAGCUGAAGAAAUGGCCACUGGUUCACUGAUUGGAUGAGCUGAAGUAAUGGUUUGUGAUGAGCAAAUAAGUAAAGGAGAACGAAGGAGAAAUGAACCGAGUGAAGGAGCAUCGCUGAGACUUUAGCUUAAGGAGAACUCAAAUGUAGCUUUGCUUAGUCAUGAGCAAGGAGAGAACAAAGACUUUCACGUGGGGGGGUAGACAUCACUUGGCAAAAGUGAUGGAGUGUGGGGCCAACGGCAGCUUUUGGCAAAAGUAACUUAAGCUAAAGUCUUUUUUCACGUGGGCACUAGCUUUCUUAGUGGGGAGCUGAGAGAACACGAAACGGCAGCACAAGCUGCCGUUUCUCUCAGUGUUCUCUCAACAUUCCCGACAUUUAGCAUUUCUCUUUUUCUUCACUAUACGGGAUGAAAAUUAUGCAAUAAUAGCUAAUAAUAGGACAUAAAUGCCUAGAUCCCCGUGGUAUUUUCAAAAUUAAUAAAAAGUAUCCCUCUCCUUACUUUCACUUCCCACCUCCUCUUCCCCAAGGUCUUCAAAACUUGAGAGCGUUUUCGGAUUUGGUGUCAAUUUUUUUUUUUUUUAAGUUUUUGAAUAUGAAAUAGAUAAUCAUUAACCAAUCUGUCGUUCUAGCUGAAAGGCCGGAUCAAUAUGCCGGGUUAUAUAAAUUAUGUGAAGAGUUGCAACUGAGACAAUGUUCAACAAACAUUUUUCAUAAGAGACUACAGAUGAGAGUACGUAGGACUUGAAAAGAUUAAUGACACAAUGGUAUCAUUUUAACAUGGAAGAUACAGCUCACUAAGAUUUAAGAUUACUCAAUGAGGGCGUUCAGAGGGGAAGGAGAAGAACACAGAAAAGAAAACUCAAUGGGGCAAUUAAGUAUCAUUUUAAUUGCUAUACAUCAUAACCACUGAGAGUAUCACUCCCGUUUCUUUUCGAAUAUCACUGAAAUUUUGCACUAUGGAUUAUAUAACAAAUGAUGUUAUGCUUAUUUAGUUGGAUACUUAAUUUGUGUCCAACUAAUGUGGUAAAAGAUGUAUUAUUAUUUAAUUGAUUUAAGUGAUAGAUAAUUAUUAAGU